rnacentral:misc_RNA from 1 species
ACCAGGGCAGCAAAACAAGAUGCAAGAAGCAAUGAAAUUUUGAAAUUGGCCUGAAGAGACAAGCUUCCCUCCCACUGAAGGUAUUGUAAUUUUCCGCAUAUUAUUGACUAGAGCAACCAUUUUUUAGUAAAGCGAGGGACAAGCACACACGGUUAAAGCAACGUUGGACUAAAAUCACGCUUUAACCCUGCAACUUCGCCGAGUUAAAUAGCUAAAAAGUAUCUCGUCUAUCAUAUUUAUUGCCAAGGAAAUCGGCUAUCUAAUAACUCUUAGAAAUGAUGGUACCUUGAAUUUGUUGACAAGUUCAUUUGGACUUCUCACCCCUUAACUAUUCUGUAUCAGUGACGACCCCUGCCGACAGUCUUUCACUUGCUAUUUCAGUGGCUAUCCCUGCCUCAUACACAGGUGAUUGCUUCUUUUCACUUCUUUUGCUUAAGUCUCGCAAGCAAAAAUUUCACGUUCCAACGUAAACUUGACCCAUAACUGUGAUAAGUUUUUGUCUCCCUAUUUUUUGUAUUUCGCGUAUACUUAUCUUUCAAUGGUACAGGUUUAUCAACACUGGGCUCGCCGAUGGCGAACAAAUGUCUGUUGGUGUUGGGCGAUCGAUAGCUAUGUUACACCGUACAUAAAAUGAAUCCUAUAAACACUUCUGUCAAUCAAAAUUAGGAGACUAGAAUCGAUGGAUCAGAGUCUUUUUCAUCUAUGAGCGUCUAUAAAAGUUGGAAUGAGAAAACGAUAGACAAUGAAGAAAAAAUUAUUUUUACCAUACUUUGACUAGAUAUUGUGGGUCAUAUGUUUAAUUAACGAAGAGAUAUUACUUUAUUCUACUUGUGCAUGUGCUUUUUCAACCCUUAGGGCUGUCAAUGAUAGCAAGGUGCUAUAACCUUAUUAUCAGCGUAUUGAUUCAAGAAAUAGUCCUACCAACUCUUAGUACACGCCAAUAUCAGUUGAUGAUUCUUUCGAACAAACUUUCAAAGGACUUUAUAAUAGCUAGUCGUUAAAUUUUACUAAAGACAGUUUGUCAAUAUGAUCAUUUAAGGCCGGAAGGAAACUUCUACAUGACAAUAUGUAGCUUCUCAAAAAAGGAGCAACUUUAUCUAAUCCCAACUAAAUGAACUCUUGAUGCUUGUACUCUUGAAUAUUCACGUUAUCUAUUUCUCAUGAUAUUUAAGCAACAUAUUAACGCGAGGAAUUUUAGUAAGUGUUUAUCAUUUCAAUUGUCCGAGGGUAUACGAAGGUUACAUAUAUAUCAUUGGUGUUUGUCAUAAAACAAAAGAGAUUUCAUAAUAUUAAAUACCUUUGCCUUUAACGCCCACCACUAUUUUUAAUCAACUGCUCUUACUUACAAACGGAAAUCUAUAAUAAAGCUUCUUUUAUUUACCAACAUUGGACACUAAUAAAUGCAAAAAUAAAAGUCCACGUUGAAACCUUUCAAAAUGAAGUAAGACAGCUUAAAAAAGGCGCCUUUCACUUUACGUAGAAAAUUACUUAUUUGCAUAUGAAAAGCAAAAAGCAAAAAACAAAUCUGAUAGCACAUCGAAAAGGCCGCAAAAGGCACUGUAUAUCUUACCUCGCUUAUGCUGAUGUUAAUAUUUAACCGAAAGUUAGUUUGGCAAAGAUACCAAUGUCUCUCUUUUUACAUUGGAAAUAUUUACUUUUCACACUACAAAUAUUGCUUAAUGUUGUUGAGAUUCAUUAUUUUCAUUUGAGAAAAAUUGACAGGAAUUGCUUUAAUCGUCGUAGCUUCUCUGACAGCUGGUCAAGCAUCAUUAUAUUUGCAAUUGCCAAACAGAAAUGUUUGAUUAUUUAAAACAGUAGAAGAUAAAUAAGAGUUGAUCGUUUUAACAUAAAAAAUUAACAAUCUGGCAUUCCAUGGUGACUAUAUUUUCAGAUAUUUGAGGAUAAUAUAUAAAAGUUAGAUCUCAUGAGAUCAUUGUUGGAGUUGGAUAGGUAAAACAAAAACUUCAAUCUCCAAUCUCUAUCAAAAUUUCUGAACAACUAAUCAAAACUUUCCGUUUCACCUCCCAUCUCGAACACACGCUCGGUUUGGCUCGCCAAAAGGCUACAAUGUUUCAACAAUAUAUAUGCACAAAGAUGAGUAGUUUAAUUUCAAACAACUGCCUUGAAGACUAUAUAAAUAAAAUUUAUUUUUGACAGUUUAUAUAUGCUAUUUUCUGUAGAAAAAUAAUAACACCAAGUUAAU